rnacentral:rRNA from 1 species
AUGCAAGAGGGUCUCACCGUUGACCUCAUUCAACAAUUUUUCAACUUAUGGGUCAAGGUUCAGGAGGUGCAGUUAGUGGUCAAAACUAAGGAUAUCAUUCGAUGGAAAUUUACUAUGGAUGGAUGCUACUCUGCCGCCACAGCUUACAGAAUGCAAUUCGCAAGAUUGAUAAAGUCUGAUAUGCUAAGGAUGGUUUGGAAAAUAUGGGCUCCACCGAAAAUCAGAUUCUUCUCAUGGCUCAUUCCGCUGGAUCGAGUGUGGAUGGCGGACAGAUUAUCUCAGAGAGGUUGGCCAAACUAUGGUCUUUGUCAGUUGUGCAAAAGAGAAUCGGAAAUGGGGGCACAUCUUAUCUUCAAAUGUCGCUACUCUGUCAGGAUUUAG